rnacentral:rRNA from 1 species
CCAUGCCCAUCCAGGAUGACUGCUCUGGAGUUAACAAUCCGCAAAUAUGCGGAGCAACCAGACAAGAGCGUGAUGCGGCCUGAACUAGGCCUCAGCUUCGACUCGUUGGGUGAGGCAUACGAAUUCUACAAUCUUUAUUCCUGGGAGAUCGGCUUCGGAAUAAGAUAUGGGAAAAGCAGACUAAAUGCUCAAAGGACAAAGACGAUGCAGGAAAUUGUUUGUGGAUGCUCGGUAAGUGCCAUUACACGUGCACAUGGGAUUAUUGUGGACGCAUGGGAGCACGCGGAAUUGAUAUAA